CCCCAGGUGCCCCAGGUGUGUCCCAGGUGCCCCCAGGUGUGUCCCAGGUGCCCCCAGGUGUGUCCCAGGUGUGUCCCAGCUGUCCCCAGGUGCC